GAACCGUUUUACAAUUUUUAGGAUUAAAUGGGGAGAAAUGGCAACCCUUGUUUGUAAUUUGCCAUCGGUGUUCCCAACUUCAUCUAUCAGUCAGUCCCGACUCCGAGCUUCAACUUCUUCGAAUUCGAGGGUUCUCCUUCACCAGUCCCCUAUCCUUGCUCGGCACGCCCAGGUCGUCCGAAGCCGCAAGAAUAUGGCUCAUGAAGGCCAAACUCCCCCAGUGAUUCCACAACAGAAAGUUAUAAUACAGAAUAGCCAUGGUGAAAAACUUGUUGGAGUAUUGCACAAUACAGGUUCUACGGAGCUUGUAAUCUUGUGCCAUGGAUUUCGAUCCUCCAAGGAAUAUGAUACUUUGAUGAAUCUUGCUGCUGCUUUAGAGAAAGAAGGAAUCAGUGUCUUCCGUUUUGACUUUGCAGGGAAUGGGGAAAGUGAAGGUUCAUUUCAAUAUGGUAACUAUCGCAGAGAAGCUGAAGAUUUGCAUGCUGUAGUUCUACAUUUUAGUGGGGUUAAACAUCAAAUCAGUGCAAUUCUUGGCCAUAGUAAAGGAGGAAAUGCGGUGCUCCUCUAUGCUUCUAGGUACCCUGAUGUCCAUACAGUUGUCAAUGUUUCGGGGCGGUUUAAUCUGGAAAGAGGUAUUGCGGGUCGCCUGGGUAAAAGUUUUAUGGAGAGGAUCAAGAAAGAUGGAUUCAUCGAUGUUAAGGAUGACACAGGAAAAGUUGAGUACCGUGUGACAGAAGAAAGUAUAAUGGACCGCCUGACCACUGAUAUGCGUGCAGCAUGCCUUUCAAUUCAAAGAGAUUGCCGGGUCUUGACUGUUCAUGGUUCUAAGGAUGAAAUUGUGCCAGCAGAAGAUGCUAUGGAGUUUGCCAAGGUCAUACCCAACCACAAGCUGCACAUUAUAGAAGGAGCUGAUCAUGGAUACACUGCACAUCAAGCUGAGUUAACUGCAAUUGUGCUAGAGUUCAUGAGGGCAGGGAUACAGCAAGAGAAGGAUAUGCCUAACCAGGUAUCAUCAUCCCCGAGAGCAGACAAUGAUAUCCAUCCACGAUUCUGAUGUGGCGUCAGUGUUAAUAAAAUUAAGAACCCAUCGGCAAAUCAAAGUGAAAAUGGGUGGAAGAUCCCUAUGCACCAAGAGACACUUGAGACUUCCCGUGGACU